GUCUCUGUAGCACAAUGGAUAGUGCGUUGGACUUCUUAUCCAAUGGUCUUGGGUUCAAAUUCCGUCUGGGAAU